rnacentral:misc_RNA from 1 species
GAAAUGCGAUAAGUAAUGUGAAUUGCAGAAUUCAGUGAAUCAUCGAAUCUUUGAACGCACAUUGCGCUCGCUAGUAUUCUGGCGAGCAUGCCUGUUCGAGCGUCAUUUCAACCAUCAAGCUCUGCUUGCGUUGGGGAUCCGCGGCUGCCCGCGGUCCCUCAAAAACAGUGGCGGGCUCGCUAGUCACACCGAGCGUAGUAACUCUACAUCGCUAUGGUCGUGCGGCGGGUUCUUGCCGUAAAACCCCCAAUUUCUAAGGUUGACCUCGGAUCAGGUAGGAAUACCCGCUGAACUUAAGC